UCCGGGUGCUGGACCGGGAUGGGAACGGGUUCAUCUCUAAGCAGGAACUGGGCAUGGCUAUGAGGUCCCUGGGAUACAUGCCUAGCGAGGUGGAGCUGGCCAUCAUCAUGCAGAGACUGGACAUGGACGGUGAUGGCCAGGUGGACUUUGAAGAGUUUGUGACGAUACUGGGACCCAAACUUCUGUCGGCUGAGACCAGAGAAGGUUUCCGAGGAAGCACCAUCGAUAACAUCUUCUGGCAGUUUGACAUGCAGCAGAUGUCUCUUGACGAGCUGAAGCAGAUUCUGUUCCAUGCGUUCCAAGACCACCUGACAAUGAAGGAUAUCGAGAACAUUAUCAUCAACGAAGAGGAGAGCCUCAAUGAGACAGGGAACUGCCCCGAGUACGAGGGAGGUGAGGGGGAGGGGGGACAGAGAGGGCGAGAGCUGAGAGAGGGAGGGGAGAGAGAUAGAUGGUAGAGAUAGAGUGAAAGAGGGGCAGAAAUCUAAAAUGAAACCUCAGGGAACAGCCAGACAGUCUGAAGUAGGAGAGAGUGGAGGGGAAUAAAAUAGAGAGAGAGAGAGAUUUCCCCUACCACAUAGAAGGAUUUCAAGAUAUCCAGUUAGAGAUACUACAUUUUCAGUCUCUGGGCUCGGUGCUUCUAUGUGGUGAUCUCAACGCCAGGACUGAGGUGAGGUGGACUACAUAGAAUCAGAAGGAAACACCUAUCUAUUUGGAAAGGCAUCUUUCUACAAUUAAACAAAUCCCCAUUCACAGAAAAAGUUAUGAUAGUGUGGUUAACAAAAGUAGGCGAGAGAUAUUUCAGCUCUGCAAAGGUCUCAGUAUGUACUGUAUAUUGUUAAUGGUAGGACAAGGGGUGACUCAUUGGGCCGAUUCACAUACAGCUCUGUGCUAGGAAGACAGUGUGGUGGACUACUCCAUAACAUAUAUUCCACCUCAACAUAAUAAUGCAUUUACAGUCAUGCCACAACUUGCCCUGUCGGAUCACUUCCAGAUCACAUUUAACCUUAAAGAUCUAUGGAGUCAACCAAAAUCCCAAAUCAGAAACCAUAUCUAUUCAGUCUCCCUCCCAUUUACAAAUGGAAAAAGACCAGUGACAGAGCAUUUGAGACCACAUUAAACAACGAUGAUGUAAUUGAUAACUUGCUGAACCGCUUUCAGUACAUCAAAUUGAGUUAUAGUAAAGAAGACAUUCAUUUGGCAACAUAUGAAUAAAACGAAAUAUUUGACAAACUUGCAACACAAUUAUGUCUUAAAAAGACUAAUGUGGGGAAAACAUGCACACAGCGUCACUACUUCACAGGAAAGGCAUUUGAAUGUAAAAACAUUUUUUAAAUCAUCUAAAAUGCAUUUGUUUGAAGAAAUGCCUUUUUGAACAUGUGAACUUUUAUGUGCCGUAAUUACAAACUUGUAUUUAAUCUGUAAAUAUAAAUAAGUGUAGCUACAGCUUUCAAUAGCAGUGUCGUCCUGAAUACAGCGGCUGGUAUCGACACAGCUCUGUCAUCUGUGGCAAAAGCAGUCUGGACUGGUUGAAGCCGAGUGGGAAGGAUUAUUUUGGGAGUGUUUCAUUCAGCUGUGAAUCAUCGUAAUCCAUACACAGCAUAAACCUGCUCUCUGCCACUAGUACAAGGAGAUGAUCGAGGGGGAACAAGCAAUGCUUCAGCUUCAAUUGUCUGGAGCCUGGUGUUGUUGUGGCCAAGGAGCUUUCACUCAGAUGGAACCUGCAGUGUUGACAUUCUUCCUGCCAGAGAUGUGAAAGCAUUCCCAGGACUGGACACAACCCGGCAAACAUAUAUUUUUGAGAAGAUCAGGACUUUUGCAAUGAGAAGGCCAUGGAUAUUACAUGUCCUGCUCCAAAGGGCAGGACAGAAAUAUGCUCUCAGGCUAGAUUCCUUUGUUCAUAUCAUAUCACUGAAAGGAUCUUAUGAUAUAGGCCUAUGUCUAGAUAGUCUUUUUCCUAAUUGUACUGUAGGCUACUACCUUUAGCUCUUGAAGUUAAUAAAGUAUUUUAAUGUUGAAAUAUUUAUUUAAGAACGACUUCACUGCUUCAGCACAUGGCCACAUUCACAUUUCAAUAUGAAUACUUUAAGAGAUGGGUGGGUCUAAUGCUUUAGAGGGUUUAAACGAUGCUAAAUGGCCGGAAACGAAGAGCAGCAUCGUAGCUGUUCAAUGUUAAAGGUUAUCUUUAUUAUACAGCAAUAGGCAAUUUAAUACUGUUAGUGAUUUGCCUAAUGGGGGAACUUAGUGAGAUAACGUUCAGAGAAUCCAUUUAGGUCAUUUGGUAAAAGUAUUCCUCUUCUAAAUAUAUGUUUCCCAAGUGUUAGGUUCUAAUUUUGAGUAAAUAACUCACGGACACUAGAGAAGCUUAACCAAGUUUAAUUCUUCUCUACAUUACCCUUUCUCCCUCUGUGACAUUGUUAGUUUCCAAGAUCUCCACCCGUCUCCCCUUAUCAAUGCCUGCCACAUCUAAUCGCUUCCCUGCACUCAACACAUUCCAAGCUUAGUUACACACACUAUAUGCCUUCCUCCUAUAACCCCUAACUUCUGUUUUAGACCCUCAACCUUAGCACUCCAUCAGUGACAGGACUAAGUAUAUUUUCAUAUUCUCAGAACCCAACACAAGUAUUAAUGUAGAGCAAGUGUGAAAAUCGCUGCAAAAUGUUUGAAGGCCUUUUCUCCUAAAUGGGAUUAUAGAUGUAUCACCUUUUAAAGCAGUAUUACUUCCCCAUGUUUCCUGCAACUACAGUGUAUGAUAUGCCAUUUUGAAGCUCUGUCUGUACUUUUAUCCAAUGUAAAAAACAAAAUUGUACAUUUUGGAACAAAAGACUGAAAUGAGAUGGUGGGUCACAAAUGGGUUAACAGGGAAUGUAACACCGCCAGGAAAAACCUGAGGUAACUGUCAAAUCAAAAACACAGAAACUCUACAGACUAGAGGGGUAUUCCAGAAAGAUAGUUUAAUAAAUUCUGGAUUUACUGAACAUAUCCGGCUUGUCUUAACCAGAUGAGGAGUACUCAUCUGCUUGCCAUUACAGUGUGUGGGUUGUUGUCUUACAGUUGAUGUAGCUUGUGUCAUUGGGGCUGGUAUUAUUGUUAUUUCACUUUCCAUCUCCUUUUGUCUUUCCACUAUCAUCUAGCAGUAAUGAUAGACAUUUUAGAAGAUUCAACAUCUACUCUCUGCUCAUCUUCUCAGGCAACCCCCACAUCAUGAAUGCAAUGUUACAAAAUCAGCUUCCCCAAAGACAAUGUAGGGUGGAUAUGCUGUGAAGACAGACCGAGG